UUUGCCAAUCUGUGGGCGGAUCUCUUUCUGAUUUGAGGAGAAGUCCUGGUGGGUUUGGCUUCUUUCUAUUCUUCAGCACCAGGAGGGAGAGGUUAACAUGACUCGUGAUACUAUGCAAGAACCUGUGGGUGGUUUGCUAGUAGAUAGCCAAGAUGAGACAGUAGAUGCAUCUCAACCAAUGGAGUGGCUGCCUACAAGGAUCGAUCCGCCGGUUAUAGGGUCACAGGGACUGCGUUCCAUGGUACCAAAAGCACGUUCUAGGUGAUAUUCUCGGCUCUAUUCUAUACACCUCUCUUCCUUUGCAUGCAGGAGUGCAUCCCUCUCGGUCUCAGGGCUUGCUCAAUCAACCAGAAAAGAAGGCUGAGGAAAGUUGUUUGAUUGACCAUUGGUUUAAAAAAUGCGUAGAUGGUUUGCUAUGAUGAGGUCCCGGACCAGAUACAAAGCUGCAUAAAGUAGCUACUUCUUACUAGCCCGACUCGGCUCUACGAGAAAACGGCUGCAGUCCUUGGUUUCCUAAACGGCGGCUACCUCCCAGAGAUCAUUAAUAGAACUGUUAUUGUUU
rnacentral:lncRNA from 1 species